UACGUAGGGACCGAGCGUUGUCCGGAUUCAUUGGGCGUAAAGAGCUCGUAGGCGGCCACUCAAGUCGAAUGUGAAACCUCGAGGCUCAACCUCGAGCCUGCAUUCGAUACUGGGCGGCUAGAGUCUGGUAGGGGGAUCUGGAAUUCCUGGUGUAGCGGUGGAAUGCGCAGAUAUCAGGAGGAACACCGGUGGCGAAGGCGGCAUCCUGGACCGGCAUUGACGCUGAGGAGCGAAAGCUAGGGGAGCAAACGGG
rnacentral:rRNA from 1 species